GGCGCGGGUAUACGAAAUUCUAAGCGGCGAUUUAGUGGACUGUAUAUUUGUUUGUUUGCUCGAUCCCACAGGUAAAUGGGACGUAGGGACUUUGGAAUUAUGGAGGAAGGGAAACUGACCUUUGCAAGCUUCUUCUUAAAUGGCCGCCACCGUUGUCCUUCGGGCACACGACGAGCGCAGUAACACUUUGUCCAGGGGCUGAUACAGUCUUCUUCCCUUCACUCACACAACUCCCAAAGCGGAUAAUUAUAGAUUUACGGUAGGCAAU
rnacentral:misc_RNA from 1 species